rnacentral:rRNA from 1 species
CACACUGGGACUGAGACACGGCCCAGACUCCUACGGGAGGCAGCAGUGGGGAAUAUUGCGCAAUGGGCGAAAGCCUGACGCAGCAACGCCGCGUGGAGGACGAAGGCCUUUUGGUUGUAAACUUCCUUUCAGCAGGAACGAAAAUGACGGUACCUGCAGAAGAAGCCCCGGCCAACUACGUGCCAGCCGCCGCCGUAAGAC